rnacentral:rRNA from 1 species
GAUGAACGCUGGCGGCGUGCCUAAUACAUGCAAGUCGAGCGAACAGAUGAGGAGCUUGCUCCUCUGACGUUAGCGGCGGACGGGUGAGUAACACGUGGAUAACCUACCUAUAAGACUGGGAUAACUUCGGGAAACCGGAGCUAAUACCGGAUAAUAUAUUGAACCGCAUGGUUCAAUAGUGAAAGACGGUUUUGCUGUCACUUAUAGAUGGAUCCGCGCCGCAUUAGCUAGUUGGUAAGGUAACGGCUUACCAAGGCAACGAUGCGUAGCCGACCUGAGAGGGUGCUCGGCCACACUGGAACUGAGACACGGUCCAGCCUCCUACGGGAGGCAGCAGUAGGGAAUCUUCCGCAAUGGGCGAAAGCCUGACGGAGCAACGCCGCGUGAGUGAUGAAGGUCUUCGGAUCGUAAAACUCUGUUAUUGGGGAAGAACAAAUGUGUAAGUAACUAUGCACGUCUUGACGGUACCUAAUCAGAAAGCCCCGGCUAACUACGUG